rnacentral:rRNA from 1 species
ACGGGAGGCAGCAGUAGGGAAUAUUGCACACUGGGGGAAACCCUGAUGCAGCAACGCCACGUGUGGGAAGAAGCAUUUCGGUGUGUAAACCACCGUCGUGAGGGAAUAAUGCUGGACCUCGUUCCAGUUGAAUGUACUUUGAAAGGAAGCACCGGCAAACUUCGUGCCAGCAGCCGCGGUAAUACGAGGGAUGCAAGCGUUGUUCGGAAUCACUGGGCGUAAAGGGAGCGCAGGCGGAGAUGCAAGCAGUCUGUACAAUACCGGGGCCCAACCCCGGACCUGCAGACUGGACUGUUGCUCUUGGAUAGCUCAGGGGCUGGCGGAAUUCCUGGUGUAGCGGUGGAAUGCGUAGAGAUCAGGAAGAACACCGAUGGCGAAGGCAGCCAGCUGGGGGCUUAUCGACGCUCAUGCCCGAAAGUGCGGGUAGCAAACAGGAUUAGAUACCAUGGUA